rnacentral:rRNA from 1 species
UCAAANGCGGCUGCGCUAAUGACUCUAGAUUAGNACGUUGAUCCUGGCUCAGGCNCUGAACGCUGGUCGUGACNCAUGCCUAAUACAUGCAAGUCGAGCGAACAGAGAAGGAGCUUGCUCCUUCGAUGUUAGCGGCGGACGGGUGAGUAACACGUGGGCAACCUACCUUAUAGUUUGGGAUAACUCCGGGAAACCGGGGCUAAUACCGAAUAAUCUAUUUUACUUCAUGGUGAAAUACUGAAAGACGGUUUCGGCUGUCGCUAUAAGAUGGGCCCGCGGCGCAUUAGCUAGUUAGUGAGGUAACGGCUCACCAAGGCGACGAUGCGUAGCCGACCAGAGAGGGUGAUCGGCCACACUGGGACUGAGACACGGCCCAGACUCCUACGGGAGGCAGCAGUAGGGAAUCUUCCACAAUGGGCGAAAGCCUGAUGGAGCAACGCCGCGUGAGUGAAGAAGGUUUUCGGAUCGUAAAACUCUGUUGUAAGGGAAGAACAAGUACAGUAGUAACUGGCUGUACCUUGACGGUACCUUAUUAGAAAGCCACGGCUAACUACGUGCCAGCAGCCGCGGUAAUACGUAGGUAGGCAAGCGUUGUUCCGGAAUUAUUGGGCGUUAAAGCGGCGCGCAGGCGGGCCCUUUAAGUUCUUGAUUGUUGAAAAGCCCACGGCUCACGUGGANGGGUCCUUUGGGCACACUUGGGGGGGGACCUUUUGACGUUGCCGGACGAACGGGACGCUUGGGCACUUCCCCAGCUUUUUGCCCGGUGCACAUGGCGUGGCUUUUUGGGGGCNCCCCCCGUUGGCGCAGGGGGCNCUCCUUUGNUCGUGCGUUUGUUUGGCGCCUGGCCGCGAACCCUGUGACUCAUCUCGCUUNUUCGUCUUCUGUGUGCANCUUNUAUGUAUUGUUGUUGGUCGCCCCUGUAGGUNGNCGUUUUAUNACGCAGUCGGGAGGCGCGCUAUUCNUNAGGGCCGCGAUGC